rnacentral:rRNA from 1 species
UACGUAGGGUGCGAGCGUUUAAUCGGAAUUACUGGGCGUAAAGCGUGCGCAGGCGGUUCUGAAAGUCAGCUGUGAAAGCCCCGGGCUUAACCUGGGGAAUUGCGGUUGAAACUACAGGGCUAGAAUCUGGCAGAGGGGGGGUGGAAUUCCACGAUGUAGCAGUGAAAUGCGUAGAGAUGUGGAGGAACACCGAUGGCGAAGGCAGCCCCCUGGGCUGAGAUUGACGCUCAGGCACGAAAGCGUGGGGAGCAAACAGG